rnacentral:rRNA from 2 species
GCGAGUGAAGCGGCAACAGCUCAAAUUUGAAAGCUGGCUUAGGCCCGCAUUGUAAUUUGCAGAGGAUGCUUCUGGCGAGGUGCCUUCCGAGUUCCCUGGAACGGGACGCCAUAGAGGGUGAGAGCCCCGUAUGGAUGGACACCAAACCUGUGUGAAGCUCCUUCAACGAGUCGAGUAGUUUGGGAAUGCUGCUCUAAAUGGGAGGUAAAUCUCUUCUAAAGCUAAAUACCGGCCAGAGACCGAUAGCGCACAAGUAGAGUGAUCGAAAGAUGAAAAGCACCUUGAAAAGGGGGUUAAACAGUACGUGAAAUUGUUGAAAGGGAAGCGCUUGUGACCAGACUUGCGCCGGGCAGCUCAUCAGGGGUUCUCCCCUGUGCACUCUGCCCGGCUCAGGCCAGCAUCGGUUCUUGUGGGAGGAUAAGAACGGUAGGAACGUGGCCCCCUUUCGGGGGGGUGUUAUAGCCUACCGUACGAUACUCCCGUGGGGACCGAGGUUCGCGCUCCGCAAGGAUGCUGGC